rnacentral:tRNA from 1 species
AAAGGGAGACCUAAUUCGGGUAUGGGAUGAAAAAAAAGUAGUCCCAACCAAGAAUCAAUCCCAAAAGGUCGGAGCGAGGCGAAAUUGGCUUUCAAACUAGGUUCUGGGUUCACAGAAGACCUGAAUCAGGAACAAGGGCUAUUAGCUCAGGUGGUUAGAGCGCACCCCUGAUAAGGGUGAGGUCCCUGGUUCGAGUCCAGGAUGGCCCACCUGCACAGGUGGUAAAAACAAGAGAAGCGAGGAAUCAGCACCUUAUCUUACUUACAUAGUAAGAGAGAAUGCUGGCUCUGAGUAAAGAGUCCAGAGGAACCUUGAAAACUGCAUAGAGCUAGGUGAAAAGGCCAAAAAAGAAGACCGCAAG